rnacentral:misc_RNA from 1 species
GUUUUAUAAAUGAAGAUGAAAUCCAAAAACUAUCUUAUCUGAAAGCAGUGGUGAAGGAGACAAUGAGAUUACAACCUACAAUUCCCAUAAUCCCAAGAGAAACAUCUCAGCAUUGCAAUUUAGAUGGUUUCCAGAUACCUCCCAAAACUGUAGUUCAUGUGAAUGUAUGGGCAAUUGGAAGAGACCCUGAAGUUUGGGAAAACCCAGAAGAGUUUUG